AAGUCACGGUGGAUACCUCAACACCUUAUUAUAAUACAUCUAGUAUGAACUCCAAAUACAAUACAAACCAAGAUUAACAUAGAUAUAUGCUAGAUAUCCAACUACUACCUCACAACUAUACACCGAAUGUCCAAUUGAAGAUCUUCUCGCGAACUCCAAAGAUGCUAGAAUCGCUACUCUUGAUAAUGAUCCCGCUCCUGCUCCCCGCCUACGUUCCAUAAGGAUACGUACCCAAAAAUGCGGUCAGCUUACGCUGGUAUGAGUGAUUCUCGCACAACAAGACAAGCCAUAAACAACUACAACUAGGGUAUAAUUAUUUAAUUUCGCAUACCUUGGUUUCCAUUUAGCUUAUGGUAGGCCAGCCCUGCAUACACGUUAGUGGGCCUACCAUCCUGCAAUUUCUUGUACGUGAUAAUUAUAAACACCAUUAUACAUAUAAUAUGCUAGAAAUCUAAGCAUGUCGCAAAGAAAACAACUUCUAAUAAAACUAAGCAAGUCAUCACAAUCAAGCCAAAGUUAAUACCCUAGCCACACUCCACAAUAGCCAUAUACUACACACUAUCUAUGGCUAACACAGAUAUCCCUGUGCCUCGUCAGAUAACUCGCAACCACUUUCGAUAACCAGAAUCCAUCAUCGGGAUAUCAACUAGAUUCCGCCGCCUCGAAAAGGCUAAGCUUAUCCGGAGCGCGCUAUAAACAUUUACCACUCGUCUACUCAUGAGAACGAGAAGGUACUCACCUCGAGCAUAAGGGGUAACGGGCUAAUAAUUCACCUUGGGACACACACACCAAGGGUUUUCAAAACACUUUUUCUUUUUCUCAUUUCGAAAUUCAGUACACUCAUGGUACUAUAGCCCACUUAAUAUUUUCGGAGUUGUGGCGUGCUAGGAUAUCCGAGUCAAGCUACUGACUCACGUAACAAAGCAAACACACACAAAAUAAGCUUAACAAUUCAUGACCAAGAUUAUAAAUCGGAUUAAAAGAUAACCAAGACAUAACCGAUUCACUACUAUAUCACAUCAUCAUUAUUGAGCAUAUAGAAUACAGAUAAUUCUGAAAAGAAGCAGUACAACAACCACAUAUUAUAUAUCAGACAGGUCCACAACUGAAUUCAAUAACGUUUUCUACACAAAUCACAAUGUAUUCCAGCAACACUGCAAAAACCUGUCAGAUAUUGCACCACAUAUAUGACAGACUAAACAAUAGAUUUAGCCCUAGACUAAAACUGAAAAUAUAAAGAUACAUGAGUUUGGUUUACUGGGUUUUUGAAAUCAACCAAAACGGUUCGGUAUUGAGUCUGUUAUGAACAUUAUCGUAAGGGGUGUUCAGGGACGUCCUGAACCUGCUUGUCAGACUUGCGUCAUAAUUUCUACCCAUUUAACAGCCGAAACAGAGAGAAGUGUAAACCGCCAUGUUCUAGAUAAAAGAACCUACUUUCAUCUCCAAUUGGAAUAAUAUAAAAAUAUUCAAUAGUUUAGUUUCUAUGGUCAAAAUGCCGCAGUAGCGCAGAGGUUCCAGGAAUCAAGAAUGUAUUGACUAUUUACCAAAUAAGAAGAUGGGUUGAUGUCAUGGACCCAUGAACAACAAUUCCUACUUAAUCUACCAGGUUCAAUACUCAAAAACAAUGAGUAAUUAAACCACAGAAAGAAAAUCACUCACCUAUGGUUAGAGUUAACUCCUUUCCUAAUCCAAAAGAAAGCAAGAUGAUGACUUCAAUUCCACCAAAGAAAAAGCUUGAAUCACCAACAAGAACCCACCAAUUUUGUUUUAAAAAUCAUUCCAACAAUGCUUCCAUCAAACAAAACCCAACAUCAUUCCGAAUUUCAGUUUGUUUCACCCCACCAUUUUUCUUUCUUUUAUUUUUUUCUUCUCCGUAAUCAACAAAACCAGUUUUGAGAAAAGAAGAUGCAAGGAUAUUUUUCUAUGUUCUAAAGUCAAACAAAAGUCCUCCCAUUUUCAACACUUGUCUAAUUAAACCAUAAUACAAUGACACAUAACACUUCCAUGCAAAAUUAUAGCUUUUUAGCUAGAUGUCCCUCUUAUAGUCGCACAUUCUAAUAAGUCCAAUUCCAAAUCAUGUCUUUCCCAUAUAAAAUCAAUCCCUUUCUCACCAACUUUUGUAUAUAUAAAUAUAUAAGAAAAACAUAUAAAUAGGGUCUCUACAGCAUACACACCAUAAAAGAAUCUCGUCCCGAGAUUAAGAAUGAGAUCCACCACUAUCAAAUAAAACACGUAUCUUUUAUCUAGAAACGAAAAUGGUACCUGGCAUUUGUUCUCCAUGACCAAUUACAGCAAAGGUCUUUGCUCCAGUCAGUGGUGUCGUUUUCCUACCAGAUUUUCCCGGACGUUGAGGACACUCGAAACUGCGAUGACCAGAUUGAUUGCAUUCCCAACAACUACCAGAAAAUGGGACAAUAGCUUUCUGAUCCUGCUGAUACUUAUAGUCAUUAUUUGGUUCAUUAGGCUUGAACCUCUUACGAUCACGAUCACCCUGAGAAGUAUCUCCCACCUUUGUCUUGCAUUUUGCCUCUCUAGCCUCCCUGAAUUCUUUCUCCUUGUUCUCGAACUUCAAAGCCAAGUCAAGAACUCGAUCGAAUGAUUCAUUAUCAAAAGGUAGUACAGACUUCGAGGGAUAGUGAUCUAAUCCCUUGAUACAUUUGUCAUUCUUCUUCUGUGGAGUAUCAAUGAGAUAGGGCGCAAAGCGUGACAAUUCAUUAAACUUAGUCACAUACGUUGUAACUGUCUUUCCUUCAUGAGUCAACUUGAAGAAUUCCUCCUGAAGUUGGGACUUCACUGCAUCAGGUAUAAACUUUUUAUCGAACCGAUCCUUGAAUUCUUCCCACGUGAAGGUAGCUAAGUCUAAACUUCCACUAAUAGACUUCCACCAAUAGAGUGCUGAGCCAACUAGCUGAUGUGCUGCUAAUUCCCAUUUUUGCACCUCUGUAAGCGUCAUGUACUCGAAAACCAUUUCACACUGUUGUAGCCAGUGCUCUGCAGCCACUGCACCUACAUCGCCAUUAAAUUUUCCUCCACCUAAGGUACCGAAAUCUUUGUUUCUCUUAGCAAAAGCAUCACGGUGAUUCUCUCCAUGCCGCACUGCGUGCAUUACUUGCGCCAUCAAGGCUCCAAGAUCCACAGUUACAUUCCCAGUGCCACUACCAGUACCAAUCAUGCCUUCUCCACUCCCUCCAGCCAUUACCUUUAAAACAUAAAUAUUGAUGAGAACAUAUUAAAGUUGUAAUCAUCAAAUUUAUGCGUACUUUAAACAUCAACAACAUCAAAUACUUUAACUUCUACACAACCCUCCACAUUCGGAGGAUCACCUAGACACUCUCUUGUCUAGGGUAACCUAUAGCUCUGAUACCAAUCUGUCACGCCCCAAAUUUUAAGAUGAUAAAAUUCCACACUAUACGUUUAUUUCGUUAUCUCAAGAUUUAGACGCGAAGAGGAACGAUUCAAAAGAAUCCAAACUAGAAUAAAAUUUUCAAAGCUACGUACAAGUCACAAAUGAUACUAGAAUCAUUUAACUUAUAUACAUCAACAACCAGUCCAAAUUACAUCCAUAAAGUCACGGUGGAUACCUCAACACCUUAUUAUAAUACAUCUAGUAUGAACUCCAAAUACAAUACAAACCAAGAUUAACAUAGAUAUAUGCUAGAUAUCCAACUACUACCUCACAACUAUACACCGAAUGUCCAAUUGAAGAUCUUCUCGCGAACUCCAAAGAUGCUAGAAUCGCUACUCUUGAUAAUGAUCCCGCUCCUGCUCCCCGC
rnacentral:lncRNA from 1 species